rnacentral:rRNA from 1 species
AACGAACGCUGGCGGCAUGCCUAACACAUGCAAGUCGAACGAGACCUUCGGGUCUUGUGGCGCACGGGUGCGUAACGCGUGGGAACCUGCCCUUAGGUUCGGCAUAACUCCCCGAAAGGGGUGCUAAUACCGGAUAAUGUCUUCGGACCAAAGAUUUAUCGCGUUUGGUUGGGCCCGCGUUGGAUUAGCUAGUUGGUAGGGUAAAAGCAUAACACGGCGAGGAUCCAUAGCUGGUAUGAGAGGAUGGUCAGCGACACUGGGACUGAGACACGGCCCAGAAUCCUACGGGAGGGAGCAGUGGGGAAUAUUGGACAAUGGGCGAAAGGCUGAUGCAGCAAUGCCGGGUGAGUGAUGAAGGCCUUAGGGUUGUAAAGCUCUUUUACCCGGGAUGAUAAUGACAGUACCGGGAGAAUAAGCUCCGGCUAACUACGUG